rnacentral:lncRNA from 1 species
CAACAUCUCUUUUUUGGAUUUUUGAGUUACAGCACAUUUUUUCAAAUAUAAAACAGAAAAUAACAAUAAUAAAAAGACUUGACAUUACUGUACAAAAGUAGAAAGUAAAAGAUGACAUAAAAUGAGGAACAGACUCAAAACAUAAAAAUAAAACAAAUCCCCUUAAGCAACUCCUGAAUGCGGUGGUCCUGGGAAAUCUGUCAUAUUCAAAUCCGCUAAGUGGAUCCACACCUGUAUGAGAAAACUUAAACCAACACUAUGUGAGACAAUAACAUUCCCUAAGACACAUGCAAGACAUGAUUGAGGCUAUUUUGCAAAAUGACUUAUUUGGCCAAAAGGUGGUUGGAAGUGCAAAAUUUGGCUAAAACCCCGCAAAGCCAAGAACCUGAGAUUUACUAGGAAUACCGGACCCUAAGUGGGUUGCCUACAUAUCACGCCCCGAAAGACGAGAAUCAGGCAUGUGUAGUUCGGGCAGAUUGGAUACGGGCGAGAAUAAUAAAAAAACAACUGACAUAUAGAAAACACAUCCUUUCUUUUUUUUUCGAAAAAUGAUGAAACAUAUAAAAUCUUUUUGGAUUUUCUUUUAUUUUUUUUUCGAUUUUAUUUUUAUUUUUGAAGAAUGAUAAAGAGUGUAAAAUCUUUUUGAAGUUUCCAUGCUCUUUUUCUUAAUAAGAUGUAACAUAAAUAUAAUUGGGCCCUACUCGCUUCAUCCACACACUUCAACCUCUCUCUUUUUCUCUUCUUUUUUUCUUCUUCUUUUUUUCAUUCGCCCUCAAUUAUCAUUGGUCCGCCAAAUGACCCUUUUACCCUUGAAGAAAUACAACAUGUAGCACAUAGGAUACAUCAAGAUGGUCUGUUAUUUUGGAUGCACCUGUCCUAGACGGACCCAACCCCUGUAUUGAGUCCCCUAAGUCAAGUGCACAUGAUGCAAACAAACGUUCCUACUAGGGAUCCGGCAUGAGGUCUUGUUAUACUAGGUUCAAAACCUGGGUUUAUUGUUCUAGACCUGGCUUACCCGAGCGGACAGCUCGAGCCGAGAGCGUACCGAGAAUACAGAAGCUUCACCGGCUUUGCAACUUGUCUGAAUCUCGUUCUAAAUUUGGAAUAUGACUCUAAUAGAAAAUAAGUCACACGAAGUGCACACUUCAUCAUGAUUUAGAAGACUCAGAGAGAAGAGGGAUUUCGCAACAGUUUAUAUACAGUUCAUGGAAUAUCAAAGCGGUAAAAGCAAUCAAUUAGCACAUUAGGCCCAAAUCAUGUAACAAAAUUAGAUAAUGGAUAAAGCCAACUAUAACAAUUAUUCUAAGCUCGAAUUCUUGAACCCUGAACUAGAGAUUUUGGGUUCAGUCCCCAGCAGAGUCGCCAGAGCUGUCACACCUCCCUUUUCACUACACCCGGAAGGGCGUAAAGGAGUUUUUCCAAUUAAUGGACAAUCGAAACGGGAUUAUUAUUAAAAGAUUCAGAGUCGCCACUUGGGAGAUUUAUGGUGUCCCAAGUCAUCGGUUGAAUCCCGAAUCGAGGAAAAGCUUGACUCUGUUUAACAGUCCGCGAACUAGAAAUCCGGGCAAGGAAUUCUGUUAACCCGGGAGAAGGUAUUAGGCAUUCCCGAGUUCCGUGGUUCUAGCAUGGUCGCUCAACUGUCAUAUUUGGCUUAAUUAUCUGAUUUUAAUCAAUUAUGAACCUAUGUGCCGAUUUUAACUUUUUAGCCGUUUUUAUUUAUUUAAAGAAUUAAUUCAAGGUUAUUUAAAACAUAUCACAAGCCACGCAACAUGAAAUGCACUCGUGAUUCACGACACGUUCUAUUUAACCUUGUUGGAAAUUAGGACCGGGUCACAUGAAAUGCACACCCGAAUUGAGAAUUAGGUAUCGUAACUAUGUCAUGGGAACCUUACCCAUGGUCACGAUGAUUUAUUAAUCGCGCCCAAUGCAAACUAGGUGUUCAUAAGUUGUAUCUACUGCUCUAAAUCCACAUGACAUUAUAUUACCUCAAGUACUUUACCUCACUUUUAUUGUGCUAAUUGAACUUCCAUAUGAUUGUAUCAAGUAUGAAUUUUUACAUUCAAUUAUGCAAUCUAGAAAUAUGAAACCGUGAACCCUAAGAUGCCACAGAUCCGAAUAUGGAAAUUCCUUGUUCAAGCCAAUACACAUGCCAAAGGUCGUUGAAACCAUGCUAACAACAAAAUGCAGAUGAACAUAUAAUGGCUAAAAAUUUAAUACUGGAGAAUUCGGCCAAAAAAAAUUAAAUCAACAAAACCAAUGCGUAAAAUGAUCAAACCAAAAAGAACAGUGAUCUUAAGGGUGCAUAUAAAAAAGAUAUACAAUAAUAGAUACUUAAAUCAACUGACAUGUCAACAAAUUGUCCAAACUAGCAAUUGCUAUUUUUGCUUUUCCAAAGUUUAUAAUAAGCACAAUAUAAACACAAACACAUUUUGAUCUCAACUCUAAAUAACACGGUUACAGCUACAGCGCUCAAAUGAAAACGAGUGAAGAAAUAUUAGCAAUAUGGCACACAAAAACACUAAAGAUUCAUGAUACAAUUUAUAGUAAAACAUUGAUUACACCAGAUCUGGGAAGAAAACAUACCUUAACAACAAAUAAGGGCCAAAACAAGUUUUUCAAUCGAGCUUAAUAUUGAAUUCGAAACCCGCACGCUUGGACUGCUUUGAAACUCCAGCCCAAUGACAGAGCCAGCAACGGAGACUUCGACACGAAAAACAUCAAACGGCUUCGACCAAAAAAACCAGUAACUUUGAUCGUCGAUAAUCAAUCGGAAAACUCGGGACGUGCCAGAAACUUUAAGGACAACAACGACCUGGUGUUUGUAGGGUGGUCAUUUGCGAGGUGAGGAGAUGAAGCAGCAGCACUGGACUGGCCGUUGGGUUCAGCUGCUGGGAGUCGUUCAGGUCUGGUUGGGAUGCGGAGAAGAAAGAACGACGUGAGGGUCGGGGUUGUUAUUGUGUUACGGCAGAAUUGGGGGGGAGCUCGGCGACCGACUUCUAGGGCUGAGGUGCAUCGCUGGAAGGUUGUGAGUAGGUCCAGCGAUGAUGGUGAGCUGAAGGGUGGUCGUAGACGGGGGUGUGCGAUGGUGACGCUGAGUUGCUGUGUUCUUGGUGUUUCAUGGCGGUUUCAGGCCAUGGUUGCUGUUUUACCAGACUCCGACGGAGAUGAGGGCUGUGUCGUUUGGACUGAACAACGUCGGUAGCGUGGUUGAGGAAGGAAGGUGGUCGUUGGUGCGUGUGUGAGUUUUCACUAGUUGUUUCCGGCAAGGGGUCGCAAGAUGGAGAAGCAGUAGCGGCUCCUUGUUAUGGUGUCUGUUGGUUUUGCUGUUGAAGAAAAGGCAGUGGGGAAAGGGGUGUUUGGAGAAGACAAUCUGAGAGGGGGGGUUCCUAUGCGCAUCUUUUGUGUAUUUUUUGUUUUCAG